AACGCACAUUGCGCCCUUUGGCAUUCCGAAGGGCAUGCCUGUUCGAGCGUCAUUAUCACCUCUCAAGCCCCCGGCUUGGUGUUGGACGGUUUGGUCGGGGUAACACCCGACCCCUCCCAAAGACAAUGACGGCGGCCUCGUGGGACCCCCGGUACACUGAGCUUUCCUUAACGGAGCACGUACCGGACUUGAGGGUCUCCAGGCCACGGUCUCUUGAUUCCUGUUGUCACAGACGGGAAGCACCUAUUUUUCAAGGUUGACCUCGGAUCAGGUAGGAAUACCCGCUGAACUUAA
rnacentral:misc_RNA from 1 species